GAUGAACGCUGGCGGCGUGCCUAAUACAUGCAAGUCGAGCGAACAGACGAGUAGCUUGCUCCUCUGACGUUAGCGGCGGACGUGUGAGUAACACGUGGAUAACCUACCUAUAAGACUGGGAUAACUUCGGGAAACCGGAGCUAAUACCGGAUAAUAUAUUGAACCGCAUGGUUCAAUAGUGAAAGACGGUUUUGCUGUCACUUAUAGAUGGAUCCGCGCCGCAUUAGCUAGUUGGUAAGGUAACGGCUUACCAAGGCAACGAUGCGUAGCCGACCUGAGAGGGUGAUCGGCCACACUGGAACUGAGACACGGUCCAGACUCCUACGGGAGGCAGCAGUAGGGAAUCUUCGGCAAUGGGCGAAAGCCUGACGGAGCAACGCCGCGUGAGUGAUGAAGGUCUUCGGAUCGUAAAACUCUGUUAUUAGGGAAGAACAAAUGUGUAAGUAACUAUGCACGUCUUGACGGUACCUAAUCAGAAAGCCACGGCUAACUACGUG
rnacentral:rRNA from 1 species